rnacentral:ribozyme from 1 species
CGUGCCCGAGCUCUGGUGCCGCAUGAGCGAAAAGGAGCGGGACCCGGCCUUCCUCAUCGAGCAGGGUUACUUGGAGCGCGUGGAGGACUUCGAAGUUAGCGGCCAGGUGGUGCCCGCGAGCCGUCUGGG